GACGAACGCUGGCGGCGUGCCUAAUACAUGCAAGUCGAUCGGACGAAUCGAAAGCUUGCUUUUGAUUCGUUAGCGGCGGACGGGUGAGUAACACGUGGGCAACCUGCCCUGUAGACGGGGAUAACACCGAGAAAUCGGUGCUAAUACCGGAUAACACGAAAUGUCGCAUGACGUUUCGUUGAAAGACGGCGCAAGCUGUCGCUACAGGAUGGGCCCGCGGCGCAUUAGCUAGUUGGUGAGGUAACGGCUCACCAAGGCGACGAUGCGUAGCCGACCUGAGAGGGUGAUCGGCCACACUGGGACUGAGACACGGCCCAGACUCCUACGGGAGGCAGCAGUAGGGAAUCUUCCGCAAUGGACGAAAGUCUGACGGAGCAACGCCGCGUGAGCGAAGAAGGCCUUCGGGUCGUAAAGCUCUGUUGUUAGGGAAGAACAAGUAACGCAGUAACUGGCGUUACCGUGACGGUACCUAACGAGAAAACCACGGCUAACUACGU
rnacentral:rRNA from 1 species